rnacentral:misc_RNA from 1 species
GUCUAAUUGGUUUUGAGUUAUGCUAAUUUUGUAAAACAAUUCAUUAAAGUGGCUGUCAAAUAUCAGUCUCUUUUAUCUGAUUCCGUGAAAGCAUUUCCAAUUCCAUUAUUUAAAGUUGUGCCCUUCCCAUGACAUGGACAUUACAAUUUAAAUAACGUACUUAUAUUAUCUAAAUAAAAUAAUGAUGAUAUGUGAAUUUGAUUUCUAAGUGCAACCUUUUGGCACUUAUGCAAUAACUGAAGUCAUAAGUGUACAAGACCUAGGAAUACUUAAAUGAUAUUUUGGUUCAUUUGUGGUGAAUUAUAUCACGCA